GAUGAACGCUGGCGGCGUGCCUAAUACAUGCAAGUAGAACGCUGAAGGAAGGAGCUUGCUCUUUCCGGAUGAGUUGCGAACGGGUGAGUAACGCGUAGGUAACCUGCCUGGUAGCGGGGGAUAACUAUUGGAAACGAUAGCUAAUACCGCAUAACAGUAGAUGUUGCAUGAUAUCUACUUAAAAGGUGCAAUUGCACCACUACCAGAUGGACCUGCGUUGUAUUAGCUAGUUGGUGAGGUAACGGCUCACCAAGGCGACGAUACAUAGCCGACCUGAGAGGGUGAUCGGCCACACUGGGACUGAGACACGGCCCAGACUCCUACGGGAGGCAGCAGUAGGGAAUCUUCGGCAAUGGACGGAAGUCUGACCGAGCAACGCCGCGUGAGUGAAGAAGGUUUUCGAAUCGUAAAGCUCUGUUGUAAGAGAAGAACGAGUGUGAGAGUGGGAAGUUCACACUGUGACGGUAUCUUACCAGAAAGGGACGGCUAACUACGUG
rnacentral:rRNA from 1 species